CCUACGAGAGGCUGCAGUGAGGAAUAUUGGUCAAUGGGCGCGAGCCUGAACCAGCCAAGUAGCGUGAAGGAUGACUGCCCUACGGGUUGUAAACUUCUUUUAUAAAGGAAUAAAGUGAGGCACGUGUGCCUUUUUGUAUGUACUUUAUGAAUAAGGAUCGGCUAACUCCGUGCCAGCAGCCGCGGUAAUACGGAGGAUCCGAGCGUUAUCCGGAUUUAUUGGGUUUAAAGGGAGCGUAGAUGGGUUGUUAAGUCAGUUGUGAAAGUUUGCGGCUCAACCGUAAAAUUGCAAUUGAUACUGGCAGUCUUGAGUACAGUUGAGGUAGGCGGAAUUCGUGGUGUAGCGGUGAAAUGCUUAGAUAUCACGAAGAACCCCGAUUGCGAAGGCAGCUUACUAAACUGUGACUGACAUUGAUGCUCGAAAGUGUGGGUAUCAAACAGGAUUAGAUACCCCAGUAGUC
rnacentral:rRNA from 1 species